UAUAACUAGGGUGAAUAGAAAUAAAAUUUUGAGAAAGUUGAAAAUAAUCCUAUUAAUUUGUCUUUUUUGCCACAGGUUCGUAGCCAAGUGGAGUUGAUCCAAGCUGCUUUGAAAAGUUAAUUAUAGUGGAUCAAAGGGCAAAGGUUGCAUGUUUUUGCACGCCCAAACACCUAAUAACAGAGGAUCAUGUGAGCGAAAGUUCACAUGCAUGAUGGUGUGACUUCUAUGAUGGAUUGUCUGAACUUAAGAUUGUCCGCAGGGUCCGUUUGGGGCAGCUUAUUUGGUGCGGUGACG